UCAAGUUUAAAUCCCUCUGUUGGAAGAUGUACUUCAAACUCUUAUGGUCGGUGUAUAUCUCGCACACUUCACCAUACAGGUAGUGUCUCCAGAUUUUUAGUGCAAUGACUACAGCCGCCAUUUCCAAAUCAUGGGUGGGGUAGUUCUGCUCAUGCCUCUUCAGCUGCCUUGAAGCAUAAGCCACUACUUUUCCAUUCCGCAUCAAAACACACCCUAGGCCAACUCUGGAGGCGUCACAGUACACGGUGUAUCCUUCACCGCUCAUAGGUAGUGUUAACACAGGGGCAAUGGUUAGACACUCCUUAUCCUCAUCAUUAUAACUGACUCUAUCGAGCUCUCUUCCUGUCCUUUGCAUCUUAUCCACUUCCCUU
rnacentral:misc_RNA from 1 species